rnacentral:lncRNA from 1 species
UGGAGAGGUAUAUUUUAUGAUUGUACCUCAUCAAUGGGUACUUCUGUUUGAGGAUUAUCUUGUGCUUCUAUUUAUAGGUCUUGAACUUCUUCAAGUUUAAUUUUCUUUCCAUUGCCCCAUACUAGGAUAAAUUUCUUCUCUAUAAAAGUGGUAUGUUUACUAACAAACACCUUUUGUGUAGUAGGAUGGUAAAAGAGAUAACCCAUACUCUCUUUAGGAUAACC